rnacentral:rRNA from 1 species
AUGAAAGGCCUUUUUUGGAAUUAUAGAGGAGCAGGUAAAAGAGGAAUGGCCACCUGCUUCUCUGACAUUAUAAAGGACCAUUCCCUGGAUUUUGAAACUAAUAAAAAAACCUUUGACCAAAAAUAUUUGAGAAGAGUUGACCCCUUUGACAGACUUAGUUGGAAUUGGAUCCCUUCUGUUGGUAAAUCAGGUGGUGUGUUGUGUGGAGUCAAAAAAGAAACUCUGGAGGUUGUAUCCUGGACUGCAGGUAAAUAUCUCCUGCAAGUUACUGUUCUAGAUGUUCACCUCAAGAUUAUCUGGACUUUGGUGAUGGUUUAUGGGGCGGCUCACGAUGAUAAAAAAGAUGAGUUCCUAGAAGAGUUGAUCUCGGUCUGCACUAGUAUCGGGACUCCAUAUGUGAUUGGUGGUGAUUUUAACAUUCUUCAAGAAAGUUGUGAUAAGAAUAAAGACUUGCACCGAUCUCAGCACAUGGAUAGAUUUAACUGUAUUAUCCAGAAUCUUAACUGUCACAUCCCCAAUUCUAGUAAUGCCUAG